rnacentral:rRNA from 1 species
UACGUAGGGGUGCGAGCGUUGUCCGGAAUUAUUGGGCGUAAAGAGCUCGUAGGCGGUUUGUCGCGUCGGCCGUGAAAACUUGGGGCUUAACCCCGAGCCUGCGGUCGAUACGGGCAGACUUGAGUUCGGCAGGGGAGACUGGAAUUCCUGGUGUAGCGGUGAAAUGCGCAGAUAUCAGGAGGAACACCGGUGGCGAAGGCGGGUCUCUGGGCCGAUACUGACGCUGAGGAGCGAAAGCGUGGGGAGCGAACAGG